rnacentral:lncRNA from 1 species
CAAAAUGUCCCAACUAAAAUUUAAAUCGGAACUGGAAAUCAACCAAAAAUCUCGAUUUACUGGGCUACCGCGCCGCGCCGCGCCACGCCACUAUCGCGGCGGCUCUCUGGAAAAGGACGAGUAGGAACUGGGCGUUCAUCGCGACAUGCCACAAUUGCGGUGCCCCUUGGAUUUCCAUUUUGACCCUUGGCGCGAUGCGCUAGAAUCGCGAAAUCUCACUGGAUUGGGAUAAUUGGGAAAAUAGGCUUCUCCGCAAUUCGGGGCUAUCACAGAGGGCCACUGGAAUUUGACAAUUGCUGAUUUUGCCUUCUCCGCAAUGCUCUAAGUGCCCAGGUGGCAUACUGUCAACUUAAAAAUGCCAUAACUCCUUCACCAAGUGUCGGAUUUGGGCGAAUCUAAUAUUAUUGGAAAGCUUAUUAAAUUUUUCACACAAUGGGAGGUCUAAAUCUGGAAAAUUCGACACGAAAUAAUUAUUCUUCAUUUUGGAAGCUAUCCCUUAAUAUCCUAGGGACAGAUUUUAGCUAGAAAAGGUAUGGGGUAUUACACAUAUGCAGUACUAUCGUCAUAUUCGGAAAUUUCGGCAAUAAUUUUUAUCGAUUUCCGAUUCGUAUUCAUCGACUAUAGGUUUUUUCCUCUUGGAGGUUUUGAAAACUUCUUCGGCUUUUCACUUCCUACUUCUAGAAGCAGUGAAAACAGGUUUCUUAACUGCUCUAUGAACUCUUCUCACCAUUUAUGAUCUACAAUAAAAAAAUGAAUCUACAGUUGUUGAUUUAUCAACCACU